AUCUUAUCUCAGUUAUUCUGCACUGCACUGCGGCGUUGCGAUAAAGUAGCGUAGCACAAACAUUUUCAUACACUUCCAGAUAGUUUAUCUUGCACAUGUAAAUAAAGAUUCUUACCAGAUCACAGCUCUGUUUGGACGGACGAGGAAACGCGGGUUGGGAUGUCAACCCAAACGUCGGUGGAAAGCGUGACUGCUACCACCGGCGGGCACGGGGAGGAGCAAUCUGCGUGUCGCCAUCGGUCAUAUCUCGGACUUGGCGAGAGCAGGCCAGCCUUUUCUGUUCGCCGGAACCAGGCACCAUCUCCCUGCGUAGGGAAAAGCUGAUUGUUCUAGGGAGGAGAUGUAGGCAAAAGCACAGUAUAAGGCAGUUCUCAAGUUACUGAGCCGGCUCCAAGGCAAGUCGGUUAUCUCGCACGAAGAGAAAUCUUUGCUUGUCUUGGCUGAGCAACGGGUAGAAGAGGGCCGCAAACACCACGCGCAGCUGACCCAGAAGAAGGCGGCAAAUGGUGGAUUCGCCAACAAGGUGGAGAGUGCUGUCAAAAACACUCCAGCGAGCAAGCGGCAACGCGGGCCCAAGGUAGCCACCCUCCAGCCGAAGGCGAGUAAGCCUAGCCAGAAGGCCAUGAGCGAGGUGUCCAAGAGACACUUCAUUGUGGACUUGAUUGAUCGCAGCGUCGAGAGUGGGAAGAUGAUGGCGGUGCAGUGGAAGCUACUCCACGCGCAGCCUGUUGAACACUUCUCGCGAAUGCUAAGUUUUACAUUAAGCUAGCUUACACUUGAAAUAUAUACGAAAAUAUCGGAAUUGUAGAAAUUGUAGUUGUU